CUCAGUUGUUCACGAUAUUUACGCAGCUCUGUCUCCAAUUUCGCAAUCUUUUCUUCAAUGUUAGCUGCUCGAGCAUACACAGUUACUUACCCCACUAAUACAGUCGGUUAGACUUGGGCCGGGCUCCUUGGGCUUUCCACGUCCAAAAAGUCGAUUCAUUUUGUGCUCUGCGUAAGCUUGCUUCUGUAAAAAGUUUAAACAAUUUUGCGUUGAAUUUUGUUUGAUGACUAAUUUUUCUUCUUCUUCCCCACGUAAUAUAAACAGCUGGGUAUAUACUAUCGAUACUUGU